ensembl:lncRNA
CUUCUGUUCAGUGAUGAAACAUGUUUUGUGCUUGCCUGUCCAUCAGUGUGGCUGAGCCUCUUGUACCUGAGGUACACAGGACAGAAGGUGCAGAUAGCGGUGUUAUUGGCAGCUGAGUACUAAUGAAGGAAAAAACAGGAAGUACAUCUGGGUAACGUAUGUUGUAAGUCAGAUUCCCCUUGUCAGGUCUUGGUUUUGAUUACCUAUUACUCUUAAAUCAUAAGCAGAAGUUUUAAGCCAUAACGAUGUCUGAUAAGCUUCUCCUUCACACUGUGCAGUUGUAAGAACACAAGUCUAGAUAAUCAAAUUUAAUAACAAUUCAAUCUUCUAUGGUUUUACUUAUCAGCCUGUUGACUCUUAGCACUGGCAUCCUUUCCUCAGUAACCACUUUUUGUAUCAUGAGAAAUGUUUUUAUAGCAGAAAGAUAAAGAAGACUUCUCCCUAUUAUAUGAGUAAGUAAGUAAAUAUGCAGAAAAAAUCUUUAGGUAAGAAGAUUAGAUACAUAUAGAGCAGGUCCAGAGGAGGACCAUGAUGAUGAUCAGAGGGCUGGAACACCUCUGUGAGGACAGGCUGAAGACAGGACUAUUCAACCUGAAGGCACCAGGGAGACCUUAUAGUGGCCUUCCAGUAUCUGAAGGGGAGCCUUCAGAAAGCUGGGGAGGGACUUUUCAUGGGGGCAUGUAGCCACAGGACAAAGUGAAAUGGCUUUAAACAGAAAGAGGGUAUAUUUAGACUAGAUAUUAGGAAGAAAUUCCUUAUUGUGAGGGUGAUGAGACACUGGAACAAGUUGCCAAGAGAGGCUGUGGAUACCCACUUCAUGGAGGCAUUCAGAACCAGGCUGGAUGGGGCUUUCAGAAACCUGGUCUAGUGGGGGAUGUCCCUGCCUAUAGCAGAGGGGUUGGAACUAGAUGGUCUUGAUAGUCCCUUCCAACCCAAACCAUUAUUUUAUUCUAUAUCUGUGAAAAUUAUUAUCUGAACUAAAAUGGGAGUUUGGAAGACCCUUGACAUCAGGGAAGGAGUUAGAGGAAACUGGAAGUCACACUUGUGCUAAGUAGUACAUGAAGAAGAACUGGCCAUUCCACUGCAAUUUUAAGCCACAGACAUUAAAAUUUGUGGCUCAAGGGAAGACUGAUGAAGGAGCUUACACAAAAAUAAUGAUGAGAAAGGGAAAGGGGAUAGACUAAGAAAGCUUAAUACUCUUAGGCAAUUGAAGCAUGUAAAUAUCUAAUAAGUCAAGCAAGAGAAGAAAAUGGAGGAUUGAUGACUUUUGGACUUUCGACUAUUACAUGAAUAUGAGAAAGAGCAAAACUUUAAAGAGUGGAAGCACAAAGCCCCAGUUCUGUCUGCCAGCAAUGUAUGGCAGUAUAUAUAAUUAUGUAAUAGAGGGAAAAUAGAAAAAAAGUAGCAAUACAAUUUAUAUGUGAUUGAUGGAUGGUCAAAGUUCAAGGAAGCACAAUAAGGAGCAGUGCCAUUUGACUCUGAUACUUUUUCAAAGUAUACCAGAUGCAUCUUGAACCAUCCCAGCUACGUUUCAUCUAGGGCAAUGUUUAUAUUCUCCUCUUCUGAAGAAUGUUCUUUUUCUUGCCUCUCAGAAAACCAGCCUUGAAAUACUGCAGGAGUGAAAUGGAUGUCACUGCCUUUUGACCCUGAGGGUUAGAGUGUUUCAGAUGCAGCUGGAAGAGAAGGUGGGUGCGUUCAUUCUGCACAUGACUGAAAAAUGUUCUUAGGCUAUCAGUUUUGUCACUAGAGCUCAAUUUUCCAUUUUGUCUCCACAUUUUCAUAGUGUUUUGCCUUUCAUAUGUUGCCAGAGGAGGAUCACAUGUUGUGGA